rnacentral:rRNA from 1 species
GACGAACGCUGGCGGCGUGCCUAAUACAUGCAAGUCGAACGCAGUGGGGACGGGUGAGUAACACGUGGGUAACCUCCCAUCAGAGGGGAUAACACUUGGAAACAGGUGCUAAACCGAUACUGAUGGAUGGACCCGCGGUGCAUUAGCUAGUUUGUGAGGUAACGGCUCACCAAGGCCACGAUGCAAAGGCGGACUUGGCAGGGGGUCCGCCACACUGGGACGGGGGCACGGCCCAGCAUCCUAAGGGAGGCAGCAGUAGGGGACUUUCCGCAAUGGGGCGAAGCCUUACCGAGCAACGCCUCGGGGGUGAAGAAGGUUUUCGGAUCGUAAAGCUCUGGUGUUAAGGGAGCGGUACUUAACCAGAAAGCAACGGCUAACUACGUGCCAGCAGCCGCGGUAAUUC